AAUCAACGCAGGCGGCGUGCCUAACACAUGCAAGUCGAGCGCGAAAGUGGACUUCGGUCCACGAGUAGAGCGGCGAACGGGUGAGUAACGCGUGGGUGAUCUACCUUCGAGUGGGGAAUAACACUGGGAAACUGGUGCUAAUACCGCAUGACAUCCUCGGUUCGUUCCGAGGAUCAAAGCUGGGGACCGUAAGGCCUGGCGCUUGAAGAGGAGCCCGCGUCCGAUUAGCUAGUUGGCGGGGUAAUGGCCCACCAAGGCUUCUAUCGGUAGCCGGCCUGAGAGGGCGGACGGCCACACUGGGACUGAGACACGGCCCAGACUCCUACGGGAGGCAGCAGUGGGGAAUUUUUGUCAAUGGGGGAAACCCUGAACAAGCAACGCCGCGUGGAGGAUGAAGGCCCUCGGGUCGUAAACUCCUGUCGAUCGGGAAGAAUGCACUCGGCCUAAUACGCCGUUGUGUUGACUGUACCGGUGGAGGAAGCCACGGCUAACUCUGUGCCAGCAGCCGCGGUAAGACAGAGGUGGCAAGCGUUGUUCGGAGUUACUGGGCGUAAAGGGCGCGCAGGCGGUUCGUCAAGUCCCGUGUGAAAUCCCCCGGCUCAACUGGGGAACUGCGCGGGAUACUAGCGAGC
rnacentral:rRNA from 1 species